UUUCAGGACGGCCUAGUAAUCUACGUCCUCUUCUUGUUAAACUGGAAGAAAGUGCACUUGGUCGUCUACUCAGGCGACUCAAAUGGCAACCGGCUCUCUAUGCUGAUUUGGAUUUUAAGGGUUGUGUACUGGCCCUCCUUCAUUAUGUUGUUCUUCUUUUUGGUAAGAUGUUCAAUUUCUCUACUGACAAUUGAAGAAUUUUUCUAUUAUAUUAUGCCAUGAAUUGAAGGCGGAUUUAAAUUUAUAUUCAAAUAGAAUAUAAUGUGACAUUCAAAUAACCAUUCAUUUUAAAUCAUCAAAAAAUAUGUCUUCAUUUUUAAUCUUCAUUUAUCAAAUGAAAUCUAAAAUUUAAUGAAAUUUAUUUAUGCUAUACAUACUCUUAUAAAUAAGCCCAAUAUGCAUGAAAAUAAGUACAAUUAAUGCUCAUCUUCCUUUGAACAAGAUGCUAAUAGCUAAAUUGUAACAAUUGAUGUUUCCACUCACUUUUGUUUUAUAUAUUUUUCUGCACAGUGUUGUAUCGUGGUCCCUUAUUCCUGGGUGGGGUUAUUUGGA